CCUACGGGUGGCAGCAGUGAGGAAUAUUGGUCAAUGGACGAGAGUCUGAACCAGCCAAGUCGCGUGAAGGAUGACUGCCCUAUGGGUUGUAAACCUCUUUUAUCAAGGAAUAAAACGAGGCACGCGUGCCUUUUUGCAUGUACUUUAUGAAUAAGGAUCGGCUAACUCCGUGCCAGCAGCCGCGGUAAUACGGAGGAUCCGAGCGUUAUCCGGAUUUAUUGGGUUUAAAGGGAGCGUAGAUGGGUUGUUAAGGCCGUUGGGAAAGUUUGCGGCUCAACCGUAAAAUAGCAAUUGAUACUGGGAGUCUUGAGUACAGUUGAGGUAGGCGGAAUGCGUGGUGUAGCGGUGAAAUGCUUAGAUAUCGCGAAGAACCCCGAUUGCGAAGGCAGCUUACUAAGCUGUGACUGACAUUGAUGCACGAAAGUGUGGGUAUCGAACAGGAUUAGAUACCCCUGUAGUC
rnacentral:rRNA from 1 species